UGUGUGUGUGUGUGUGUGUGUGUGUGAAUGAGUACCCCUGUGUGUAUGUGCUGGACUGUAGCAUUACAAUUUGUGGAAACACUUGAAGGAUGGAAAUCUGAAUUCCAUACCUUCAGGAAAGCAGGAAAUGGUGUUUCUUUCUGCUGAAGGGAAUCUGUUGGUAGAGCUCACCCUCUAGUGGCAGGCUCUGACUCAUUCAGCUCUACUGUCAUGCCUGAAAACCACCAGAAACCAUCACCUUCAUGGUCACACCCGUCAGCUACUUCUGUGACUAGAGUCUGCCACAAGAAGCAAAGAAAGAACAAUCAAAACUUCUUUCUACUUUGGUUUAAAUAAGGAAUGUGGAGAGGUGCCAGUUUGCCUCUUGGGACUCUUGCCCUUAAGCUAGGCACCGAACCCCCAUCUGCUCAGGGCACAUCUCCAGUAAUGCUUGUGGAUAGGCAGGCUAUUUAUGACAAUGUGUUGGUACAGGUGUUUGUGCAUGUGUGUAUUUAGGGCCUGUGUGUAAUGAGUAAAAUAACAAAAGUGUGAAAAAGUUAAUUUUCUGUGCUGUGUGUUCAGUGUU